GCGGGAACUCCAGUCCCCGGGAGAGCGCUCCGUGAGGCAUCACUGAGAGGAAGAGGACGAGCGCAAGCAGGCGGAGCCGCCCUGCAGCCUCCGCUGAACCGGUCUCUCUUCCACUCAACAUGUCGCCUCCAAUGCUUUAGAUCCCAUCCCCACGGGGCGCUUGCCGGAGAGGAUCUGGGGGCGGUCGAAGAGGUGGAGAAGCCGGCCAUGCAGCCCUGGUACAUGGGCCGCUCGUCCUCCUCCGCGCCUAUCGCCACCAUGAUCGAUCUUUCUCCUCUUUCUCUCUCUGUUGCUCGCCUUCCUUCCCUGCCCUCAUCCAUUGUUCUUGAUUUUUGAUCUGCCGGUUCAGAUGUGUAGUGCUUUCUCCUUUGUCCCUGCGUACAGAGGCAUUGUUGUUGGUUUUUGAUCUGUUGGUUUUUCUUUAAAUUGAGAAUACAUAUCUACGACGAGUACCAUGUGAUUUUUUAUUUUGGAUCCAUCAUGUACCAUGAUUUUGUGCUGUAAUUUUGGAGUACCAUCAUGUACCAUGUAAUUUUGAAUUUUUGUGCUGUGAUUUUUUAGUACCAUCAUGUACCUUGGGUACAUGACAAGGUACUUAUAUUUUAUGAAUGUUUGUGUUGUGAUUUUAUACUGAUACAUGAUGUACACAGUCUUGAUAUGUGAGGUACUAAAAAUUGUUAAGAUA